rnacentral:rRNA from 1 species
UACGUAGGGGGCAAGCGUUGUCCGGAUUUAUUGGGCGUAAAGAGCUCGUAGGCGGUCUGUCGCGUCGAUCGUGAAAACUUGGGGCUUAACCCUGAGCUUGCGGUCGAUACGGGCAUGACUGGAGUUCGGCAGGGGAGACUGGAAUUCCUGGUGUAGCGGUGAAAUGCGCAGAUAUCAGGAGGAACACCAGCGGCGAAGGCGGCGCUCUGGGCCGAUACUGACACUGAGGAGCGAAAGCGUGGGGAGCAAACAGG